AACAACAAAAAAACCAGCGCCCGAUCCCGUCCGAUCUCGGAAGCUAAGCAGGACCGGGCCUGGUUAGUACUUGGACGGGAGACCGCCUGGGAAUUCCAGGUGCUGUAGGCU
rnacentral:rRNA from 12 species